GGCCUGAUAGCAUAACUGGAUAGUGCAUCUACUUAGUGUACCAAUAGUACCAAUAGUCCCCAUUAUUUGGUAGAAGACCCCCGUUCAAUCCGGGGUUAGGCCA